rnacentral:lncRNA from 10 species
CACAUGAUGACAGCAAAAAGAAACCAUCAAUGAGGAAUGGACCCUCACCAGACACCCCACUUGCUGGUGCCUUGAUCUUGGACUUCCCAGCACCCAGAACUGUAAUUCGAAUUCAGCUAACUUCCAUGGGGUCCACCUGAGUCUUGAGAAGAACUGCCAGAAUCUGGAAGGCCAAGCUGCUCUCUGCAUCCUCUUAUCACUGGUAUAACUAGACCACCUCCAAGAACCAAGAUACUAUGCAAAACUAGUCACCAUGUAAAGCCAUUUUAACCAUUUGGAAGCCUAUGAACAUCGGUAAUACCUAGG